AGCAAUUUUCGACUAAAAUUUUUUUGCAGGUCACAUCCGAGGAGACCCCACCUUGCCAUCCACUCCAGCAUUCCGACGUCUUGCAAAAUCUCGCACCAACAGAUUGGCACUAGAGGAAGGACUCUGAACCCAUUUAGAAGAGCGCAGAUCGAGAGCAACAAGAACUAUGCCACCUAAGAGAGUUUCAUCUUGUCAUAUCAAUGCCACCGUCUCUCGGCUGAUGGAGGA
rnacentral:lncRNA from 1 species